rnacentral:rRNA from 1 species
AGCAACCUGCCCCUGACUCUGGGAUAAGCGGUGGAAACGCCGUCUAAUACCGGAUACGACCGGCCACCUCAUGGUGGCGGGUGGAAAGUUUUUCGGUCGGGGAUGGGCUCGCGGCCUAUCAGCUUGUUGGUGGGGUAACGGCCUACCAAGGCGAUUACGGGUAGCCGGCCUGAGAGGGCGACCGGCCACACUGGGACUGAGACACGGCCCAGACUCCUGCGGGAGGCAGCAGUGGGGAAUAUUGCGCAAUGGGCGAAAGCCUGACGCAGCGACGCCGCGUGGGGGAUGACGGCCUUCGGGUUGUAAACCUCUUUUACCACCAACGCAGGCUCCCGGUUCUCUGGGGGUUGACGGUAGGUGGGGAAUAAGGACCGGCUAACUACGUGCCAGCAGCCGCGGUAAUACGUAGGGUCCGAGCGUUGUCCGGAAUUAUUGGGCGUAAAGAGCUCGUAGGCGGCGUGUCGCGUCUGCUGUGAAAGACCGGGGCUUAACUCCGGUUCUGCAGUGGAUACGGGCAUGCUAGAGGUAGGUAGGGGAGACUGGAAUUCCUGGUGUAGCGGUGAAAUGCGCAGAUAUCAGGAGGAACACCGGUGGCGAAGGCGGGUCUCUGGGCCUUACCUG